UUUUUAUUUUUAAUUUUGAGACAAGGUCUCACUAAGUUGCUGAGACUGACCUUGAACUUGUGAUCCUCCUGCCUCAGCCUCCCGAGUCACUGGGAUUAUGGGUAUGUGCCACCAUGCCCAGCUACCCUGGGAUUUUUCUAUGUAGACAUUUGUGUAAUCUCCAAAUAGGGACAGUUUAAGUUCUUCCUGUUUAAUCCAUGCCUUUCAUUUAUUUUUCUUGCCUUAUUGCAGUGUCUCAAACUUGCAGUACUAUAUUGAGUAAGACUGGAAAUAGUGGACACCAUUGCUUAGUUUCUCAAUUAAAGAGGAAAAGUAUUCAUUGUUUAUUUAUAUUGUUUGUGUGGGCCCUUUACCAAGUUAAGUAGUUAUCUCUAUUUCUAAGUUGCUGAGAGUUUUUUUUUCUUUUUAUCAUGAAUAGGAGUUGAAUUUUGUCAAAUGCUUUAUCUGAAAUUGAUAUUAUCAUGUAACUUUUUUUUUUAAAUUUAAUCUUUUAAUGUGGAACCAGCUUUGUAUACCUGGAAUAAUCCCAUCUGGUAUGGCAUAUAGCUCAUUUACAUAUUGUUGAAUUCAAUUUGUUCAUAUUUGUUCAGGAUUUUUUUGCAUACAAAAAAUAUAAGUUCAUAAAAGAUCUAGGUCUGUAGUUUUAUCUUUUUAUUUUAACACUACCUUUGUCUUGUUUUGGUAUCAGGAUAAUAAUAGCUUCAUUAAAUGAUUUGUGGACUGUUUCUUCUUUUCCUUACCCAUUUUCUUUUUGUUGUUAGGGAUCAAACCCAGGGUCUUGUGUGUGCUAAGCAGGUACUCUACCACUGGACUCCAUUUCCAGCUCUCCUUUUCUGUUCUUUUUUGAAAGAGAUUGUAUAUAUUUGAUUUUAAUUUUUCUUUAAAUGUUUUCUAGAAUUCUUCAGUGAAAGUAUAUGGGCCUUGUCUGGCAUGAUGGCACACACCUGUAAUCCCAGUAGCUUGGGAGUCUGAGACAGGAGGAUCUCGAGUUCAAAGCCAGUCUCAGCAAUGGCAAGCAUGCCAGAGAGAAGGUCCAGGAUGCUGGUGCCUCCGAAUGAGCAAGUGUCACAGCGGAGUCUGUUGGAGCAGGGGUUGUGCUAGGAGGGCUGGGAAUGAGAGACUCUCCAGGGGCUCCAGAAAACCACCCCGGGCCUCUGGAGGAAAUGGCCUGCCGGAGGUGAAGGAGAGAGGAAGACAGAGCUGAGGGGAACACUCCUGGAGACACAACCUCCAGUAUCUGGAACAACCCUGACUGUCUUUACUUAUGUGAACAAAUAUAUUGCCCCUCGCCCUUUU